GCUUCACUGUUUCCUGGGAUUGACUUUGGGCUUUUCCUACGCAGCUUAGGUGGAGGGCAAAGAAGGCCUUCUUCUGGGGGGGCCAGAGCCAUCAGUGAGAUACACUCUGGAAGAGCUAGAAUUCUAACCUUGUGCCAGGACCUACGGGCCGGGGGACAGUCUCAGGUAGACAGUUUCUAUGGGGCGUAGGCCUCCCCAAAGGUAACGGAAACGUGCAAAGGUUUCUUCGGACCAGACGGAGAUUGGCCCUUGAGUGCAAAGGCAGAACGAUUGUUAGGGCGUCUUGAAGUUUCUAGAGCUUUUGGAGAUCGCCAGUUUAAAAAGGUUUGCCUCAUUCAAAGAUAGGC
rnacentral:ncRNA from 1 species